AUUGAACGCUGGCGGCAGGCCUAACACAUGCAAGUCGAGCGGAUGAAGGGAGCUUGCUCCUGGAUUCAGCGGCGGACGGGUGAGUAAUGCCUAGGAAUCUGCCUGGUAGUGGGGGAUAACGUCCGGAAACGGGCGCUAAUACCGCAUACGUCCUGAGGGAGAAAGUGGGGGAUCUUCGGACCUCACGCUAUCAGAUGAGCCUAGGUCGGAUUAGCUAGUUGGUGGGGUAAAGGCCUACCAAGGCGACGAUCCGUAACUGGUCUGAGAGGAUGAUCAGUCACACUGGAACUGAGACACGGUCCAGACUCCUACGGGAGGCAGCAGUGGGGAAUAUUGGACAAUGGGCGAAAGCCUGAUCCAGCCAUGCCGCGUGUGUGAAGAAGGUCUUCGGAUUGUAAAGCACUUUAAGUUGGGAGGAAGGGCAGUAAGUUAAUACCUUGCUGUUCUGACGUUACCGACAGAAUAAGCACCGGCUAACUUCGUG
rnacentral:rRNA from 1 species